UAGGGAAUCUUCGGCAAUGGACGGAAGUCUGACCGAGCAACGCCGCGUGAGUGAAGAAGGUUUUCGGAUCGUAAAGCUCUGUUGUAAGAGAAGAACGAGUGUGAGAGUGGAAAGUUCACACUGUGACGGUAUCUUACCAGAAAGGGACGGCUAACUACGUGCCAGCAGCCGCGGUAAUACGUGGGUCCCGAGCGUUGUCCAGAUUUAUUGGGCGUAAAGCGAGCGCAGGCGGUUAGAUAAGUCUGAAGUUAAAGGCUGUGGCUUAACCAUAGUAGGCUUUGGAAACUGUUUAACUUGAGUGCAAGAGGGGAGAGUGGAAUUCCAUGUGUAGCGGUGAAAUGCGUAGAUAUAUGGAGGAACACCGGUGGCGAAAGCGGCUCUCUGGCUUGUAACUGACGCUGAGGCUCGAAAGCGUGGGGAGCAAACAGGAUUAGAUACCCUGGUAGUCCACGCUGUAAACGAUGAGUGCUAGGUGUUAGACCCUUUCCGGGGUUUAGUGCCGUAGCUAACGCAUUAAGCACUCCGCCUGGGGAGUACGACCGCAAGGUUG
rnacentral:rRNA from 1 species